UACGUAGGGUGCAAGCGUUAAUCGGAAUUACUGGGCGUAAAGUGUGCGCAGGCGGUUGUGCAAGACAGAUGUGAAAUCCCCGGGCUCAACCUGGGAAUUGCAUUUGUGACUGCACGGCUAGAGUGUGUCAGAGGGGGGUAGAAUUCCACGUGUAGCAGUGAAAUGCGUAGAGAUGUGGAGGAAUACCGAUGGCGAAGGCAGCCCCCUGGGAUAACACUGACGCUCAUGCACGAAAGCGUGGGGAGCAAACAGG
rnacentral:rRNA from 1 species